UCGAAACCUGCCCAGCAGAACGACCCGAGAACGUGUUWAUCGAUUGUGGGAGUUGGGUACUGCAUGGUGCCUUGUGCGCCUUCUUGCCCCUCGCCCAAAGYCGGCGGGCGCUCACUUGUGAGAUGCUCUCGGCUAUGUAAACUAACCCCGGCGCGAAAAGCGUCAAGGAAUACAAGUAUAUUGCGCCUCGCCCUUGUCCGGUCACUCGGUACAGGRGUGAGUGCCAUGUCUCAAUAACAAUAAACGACUCUCGGCAACGGAUAUCUCGGCUCUCGCAUCGAUGAAGAACGUAGCGAAAUGCGAUACUUGGUGUGAAUUGCAGAAUCCCGUGAACCAUCGAGUCUUUGAACGCAAGUUGCGCCCGAAGCCUUCGGCUGAGGGCACGUCUGCCUGGGCGUCACGCAUCGCGUCUCCCCCCCAAACAAUCUUUGCUUUGAGGGGAAGGAGGAUGGCUUCCCGUGCCUCACCGGGUGCGGUUGGCCUAAAAUUGGAGCCCACGGCGUGCAGUCGCCGCGGCAAUAGGUGGUGAACAAGGCUUCGGCCGUGUAAACAGCCCGUUGCGGUGUGCAUGCGUGUGCUCGUCGGACCCUUUUUUGCUUUGCCUUGUGCAAUGCAAACCUUUGCGACCCCAGGUCAGGCGGGG
rnacentral:rRNA from 1 species